rnacentral:sRNA from 1 species
UUCUAGCCCUGAUAGUAGUGGAAAUCCUUUUAUUUUUUUCCUUUAAAAAAAUAAAAGAUUGUAACGGAUAGCAGGAAACAGC